rnacentral:rRNA from 1 species
UGAAUACGAGACGCUAAGGCGUCGAAGUAGUGUAUGUCAUACUUCCAAGAAAAGCUUGCACUGUCAUAAGUAAAAAAUGCCUGUACCAUAACCGACACAGGUGGGUAGGUAGAGUAUACUAAGGGGCGCGAGAUAACUCUCUCUAAGGAACUCGGCAAAAUAACUCCGUAACUUCGGGAGAAGGAGUACCUUAUUCUAUAAGGUUGCAAUAACAAGAUCCAAGCAACUGUUUAUCAAAAACACAGGUCUCCGCUAAGUCGUAAGACGAUGUAUGGGGGCUGACGCCUGCCCUGUGCCAGAAGGUUAAAGAAGUCGGUUAGCAUUAGCGAAGCUGGUAACUGAAGCCCUGGUGAACGGCGGCCGUAACAAUAACGGUCCUAAGGUAGCGAAAUUCCUUGUCGGGUAAGUUCCGACCCGCACGAAAGGCGUAAUGAUUUGGAUACUGUCUCGGAGAGGGGCUCGGUGAAAUAGACUUGUCUGUGAAGAUGCGGACUACCUGCACCAGGACAGAAAGACCCCAUGAAGCUUUACUGUAACUUGAAAUUGAAAUUGGACUUUAUUCGCGCAGUAUAGGUGGGAGGUGUUGAUUAUAAUCUUGCGGGAUUAUUGGAGCCAUCAGUGAGAUACCACUCUUGUAAUGUUAGAUCUCUAACUUUGAAUCAUUAUCUGGUCAAAGGACAGUUUCAGGCGGGCAGUUUGACUGGGGCGGUCGCCUCCCAAACGGUAACGGAGGCGUACAAAGGUUUCCUCUGAACGGGUAGAAAUCGUAUCUAGAGUGUAAAGGCAUAAGGAAGCUUGACUGUGAGACCUACAAGUCGAACAGGGACGAAAGUCGGUCUUAGUGAUCUGACGGUACUGAGUGGAAAGGCCGUCACUCAACGGAUAAAAGUUACUCUAGGAUAACAGGCCGAUCUCCCCCAAGAGUUCACAUCGACGGGGAGGUUUGGCACCUCGAUGUCGGCUCAUCGCAUCCUGGGGCGGCAGUACGUCCCAAGGGUUGGGCUGUUCGCCCAUGAAAGUGGUACGCGAGCUGGGUUCAGAACGUCGUGAGACAGUUCGGUCCAUAUCCGGUGUAGGCGUUAGAAUAUUGAGAGGAGCCUUCUUUAGUACGAGAGGACCGAGAAGGACAUACCUCUGGUGUACCAGUUAUCGUGCCAACGGUAAACGCUGGGUAGCUAUGUAUGGAGUGGAUAACCGCUGAAAGCAUCUAAGUGGGAAGCCCACCUCAAGAUAAGUAUUC